UACGGAGGGUGCAAGCGUUAUCCGGAUUCACUGGGCUUAAAGGGUGCGUAGGUGGGCAGGUAAGUCCGUGGUGAAAUCUCCGGGCUUAACCCGGAAACUGCCAUUGAUACUAUCUGUCUUGAAUACCGUGGAGGUGAGCGGAAUAUGUCAUGUAGCGGUGAAAUGCUUAGAUAUGACAAAGAACACCAAUUGCGAAGGCAGCUCACUGGACCGAUAUUGACACUGAGGCACGAAAGCGUGGGGAGCAAACAGG
rnacentral:rRNA from 1 species